GGACCCGCACAAGUAGUGGAGCAUGUGGUUUAAUUCGAAGAUACGCGCAGAACCUUACCAACACUUGACAUGUUCGUCGCGACUCUAAGAGAUUAGAGUUUUCGGUUCGGCCGGACGAAACACAGGUGCUGCAUGGCUGUCGUCAGCUCGUGUCGUGAGAUGUUGGGUUAAGUCCCGCAACGAGCGCAACCCUCACUUUUAGUUGCCAUCAUUUAGUUGGGCACUCUGAAAGAACUGCCAGUGAUAAGCUGGAGGAAGGUGGGGAUGACGUCAAGUCCUCAUGGCCCUUACGUGUUGGGCUACACACGUGCUACAAUGGCAUCUACAAUAGGAAGCAAGAUGGCGACAUCAAGCAAAUCCUAAAAAGAUGCCUCAGUUCGGAUUGCACUCUGCAACUCGAGUGCAUGAAGCUGGAAUU
rnacentral:rRNA from 1 species